UACGGGGGGAGCAAGCGUUGUUCGGAUUUACUGGGCGUAAAGGGCGCGUAGGCGGUCAGCACAAGUCAGUUGUGAAAUCUCCGGGCUUAACUCGGAAAGGUCAACUGAUACUGUGCGACUAGAGUGCAGAAGGGGCAACUGGAAUUCUCGGUGUAGCGGUGAAAUGCGUAGAUAUCGAGAGGAACACCUGCGGCGAAGGCGGGUUGCUGGGCUGACACUGACGCUGAGGCGCGACAGCGUGGGGGAGCAAACAGG
rnacentral:rRNA from 1 species